rnacentral:rRNA from 1 species
AGUGAACGCUGGCGGUAGGCCUAACACAUGCAAGUCGAACGGCAGCACAGUAAGAGCUUGCUCUUACGGGUGGCGAGUGGCGGACGGGUGAGGAAUACAUCGGAAUCUACUUUUUCGUGGGGGAUAACGUAGGGAAACUUACGCUAAUACCGCAUACGACCUACGGGUGAAAGCAGGGGAUCUUCGGACCUUGCGCGAUUGAAUGAACCGAUGUCGGAUUAGCUAGUUGGCGGGGUAAAGGCCCACCAAGGCGACGAUCCGUAGCUGGUCUGAGAGGAUGAUCAGCCACACUGGAACUGAGACACGGUCCAGACUCCUACGGGAGGCAGCAGUGGGGAAUAUUGGACAAUGGGCGCAAGCCUGAUCCAGCCACACCGCGUGGGUGAAGAAGGCCUUCGGGUUGUAAAGCCCUUUUGUUGGGAAAGAAAAGCAGCAGGUUAAUACCCCGCUGUUCUGACGGUACCCAAAGAAUAAGCACCGGCUAACUUCGUG